CCACAGUCUUCCCAGACAGGCAUGUAAUUUACACCAAUCUCAUCUGCAGCAUCGGAGGCGUGAAAUACUAACACUUGACACACAAACGAAAAACUACAACUGAAAUUAAAAACAAAGCCGGAGGGCCAGAUGGAUGCCAAUUGUGUUAUCUGAACCCUCAUAGAUAUUUCUCCUUAGGACUUCAGAGAUACAGACCCCAUCAGGAUUCACUGCUGUCCACUGUGUGUUUGUUGGUCACCAGAGAGGGUUGGUCCAUGCUUCAAAGCUACUGAACGUAUUUUCUCUCAUUCCCUUAUGCAUUCCAAUACAUGCAAAACACUUCCAGCAUCCAUGGCCACAGAUUAUUUCUCUCUCCUCUUGGAAUAUGAAAAACUGAACUGGCUUAACACCUGUCCUCAACAGAUUGGAGUUGCAGUGUCUCCCACACAAGAGACAUAGGGAGCAGAGCUGGGGAGUGGAACAAACAGAAUAUGAAGACAGAAUGCAACAACCUAGAUGGGAUAAGAAACCAGGAAGCCGUCCAACAUGCAGAGAAGCAAGGGUACUCUCCAUUGGAUGCCAUGAAAGAUGCAAGCAUGGCCUACACUGGCAGCAGAAACCAAUGGGAAGUCAGUUGUUUCCAUGUGAGGUUUUCACUGUUGGCCUCCCAGGGCUCCAGUGUUUUUCAAAAGUGCACAGUAGAUGGAAAUCUAACAGGUUUCGCUGUGCUUUCCAUGAAGCAGCAAUAAUGAGGGGAGUUGCACCUGUAACUCCACUGUCUGCCACACAUCUUGUACAAGCAUAGAGGCCCUGCAAGAACAAAAAGUUGGCAACCACAUACCUCUGUGAACCUACUCUACAACUGAUGCUGAUUGAUAACUGCUGUGACUGAGCUGUGUCUCUGUUUUGAUUAUGGCUAGCUGAUUCCUCCCUUCACCCCCCACGUGUCUCAACGCGGGUGUCUUCCUGAUGGGUCUGUCUAGCAGACUUUCCCCUUUAUCUGCUUUGCUUACAUCUGUUUCAGACUAUGCUUUUUGUUGAGUUGAUUCACAUGCAGAUAUUUUGUAAUAGCCAAGUAGCUAAACAUCAUUUAACAAUGAAAUAUGUGAAAUAAAGUGCCUCAGCUUCUGUUUCAUUAUUCCACUCCAGAAGGGAAGCUCUGGUCAUCUUUGUGUUCCGUCUUCUUCCUUUUUUCAAUGUAAACUUUGUUCUUCACUUUCUUAAAAUACUUCUAACAAACAAUCCCAUACAUCCCAACACUCUGCGCAUAUACAAUGUAAAAACCAUACAGUCACACAUUUUCUGUGUCCCUUCUUGAGCUUGGAUUUUGCUCAGAAUUAUGACUGACAUUUUAAAACUUCUUAAUGAGCUUUCCUGGGAGCAUGCUGCUGUGGCAAUUCAAUACUGUUCUGUAUCAAUAGUAAUGUUUUUAAAACAUUUUCAUUAAAUCUUCAACCUACUUAGUCUGCACUUCCUUUGCAAAAUUGUGCUUAUAAACUUAGAGAAAUGCUAAGCUGAUUUUAGAAUAUUAAUCAGACAAGCUACUGAG